UGAUCUAGUACAUUAGCCAGUCUGACUGGUUUCAUUUAAAUGCAAUAUGGAACUAAGAUGUGAAAUAUAUAAUUAAUGUAUACAGAAGCAGGGGCACCUUUGUGCUGCCAGAUUGAAACAUCACCAAAGAUACUCGGAAUUUUCUGUUAUGGAUUUGUUUUGUGGUGAUGAGCCAAAUACCGCUGCAGAAAAGUGUCCAACCUGUGAAGAUCAUGUUUCUUUUUCACUUGAAGGUUUGGGUAAAGUUGGUACAGAGACACCGGUUCAUUCACCAGAACAGCGGGCUAGGUAAUUAAAUAGAUUUCAUUUGUCUGUUCCUUCUUUCUGUAAGAUUACUCCAUUAGUAUUCCCAGCGUGUGAUUGGUGUAACUACGUUAUGGCUAAAGAUUACUCCAUUAGUAUUGCCAGUUGCAUGACUUUAUGGCUAAAAAUCUUUGAUUUAAUUACAAUGUUGAAAGUAGCUUCAAUUCACAGUAUAUCAUCAUAUCAUCUCACUCGCAUUUAUGGAAAUUUUAGUUAAGAAUUUUGUCAUUUUAUACAUGACCUGUUAUUAUUUAAUACCCAUCACGGCAUCUUUAACUGUUUACGAAUAAUGAUGCCCAAGUAGGUGCUCUUUGAAUAGUAUAUCUUAUGCUACUUGCAAGUUGUAAAUGUUUGGGGCAAUUGUCCCUUCCGUUUCAUGAGAGGUAGGCUUAAUCAUUCACACCAAGCAACAUCCACUUGUAAGUUAUUGAAUAUAAAAUUGAAAUUUUGUUUGGUUGACAAUAUUUUAAUGAACAGCAUAACCUCACUUGUUGUCCUUUUACAUAAAGCGUUAGUAGCAUUCAAGCAUUACACUGGCUGUCAGGAUAGACAGAUUGAAUCUUUUUUAAUGUGUUUUGGAAUUUGUUGUUUGCAUAAAUUCGUAUAGCUACUCUCCAAUGCAGAAGGAUGGAAGGAAAUCAAAAUUAAAGAAACUUAGCCAUGAGCUGAAUGACAUUGAACUUGAAGUGGUGAAGCAUAUACCGAAAUCAUCUUACCACACACACACACAUUCAUUUUGUAUAAUCCUAUCUGCAUCUUCUAUAACUAUUUGUUCUUUGUCAAUCAUUAGUUGAUACCUGAACUGAUAUAUAAAUUUUCCAUAUUUAGUUUUUGUCUCAAGAAUUGUCAAGUUUUCUUAUGUUAACGCGCUUUCGUAAUUGUUAUAUCUUGAGUAUUCAUUUUAUUCUUCUUC